ensembl:misc_RNA Metazoa_SRP Metazoan signal recognition particle RNA
GCUGGGUGUGAUGGAUCACACCUGUAAUCUCAACACUUUGGGAGGCUGAGGCAGGCGGAUCACCUGAGGCCAGGAGUUCGAGAUCAGCCUGGCCAACAUGGUGAGACCCUGUCUCUA